rnacentral:rRNA from 1 species
GAAUUCCUAGUGUAGAGGUGAAAUUCGUAGAUAUUAGGAGGAACACCAGUGGCGAAGGCGACUUUCUGGACUGUAACUGACGCCGAGGCACGAAAGUGUGGGGAGCGAACAGGAUUAGAUACCCUGGUAGUCCACACCGUAAACGAUGAAUACUAGGUGUCGGGGGUCGAACCUCGGUGCCGCAGCUAACGCAUUAAGUAUUCCGCCUGGGGAGUACGCACGCAAGUGUGAAACUCAAAGGAAUUGACGGGGACCCGCACAAGUAGCGGAGCAUGUGGUUUAAUUCGAAGCAACGCGAAGAACCUUACCAAGUCUUGACAUCCUUAUGCAAAUCUCUUAGCCGAGAUGUUCUCUUCGGAGACAUAAGUGACAGGUGGUGCAUGGUUGUCGUCAGCUCGUGUCGUGAGAUGUAGGGUUAAGUCCCGCAACGAGCGCAACCCUUAUGUUUAGUUGCCAUCAGUUAGGCUGGGCACUCUAGACAGACUGCCGUGGACAACACGGAGGAAGGUGGGGAUGACGUCAAAUCAUCAUGCCCCUUAUGAUUUGGGCUACACACGUGCUACAAUGGUCGGUACAACGGGCAGCGAAGGAGUGAUCUGGAGCGAAUCCUAAAAAGCCGAUCUCAGUUCGGAUUGUAGGCUGCAACUCGCCUACAUGAAGUUGAGUUACUAGUAAUCGUGGAUCAGAAUGCCGCGGUGAAUGCGUUCCCGGGCCUUGUACACACCGCCC